CAAAGAGAAAGAGUCAUUGUUUUGGUUUGAUUCUACUCUUAUAGCCUCGUUCAUCGCCAUCAUUAGUGACUCAUCAUUGUCUUCUUCUAAAGCUUUGAUUUUUCUUUGCUAUGAAAAUUGCCCUUUGAUUUCUUUUCUUUCCUUGUUUUAGCUUUCAAGAAAGGCUAAAUGUGUGUGUACUUGAGCAGUAGGAUCUCAAGAGACUCCCUCGGUGGGUCUGAUCUUGUACUUUACAGAAACUGUCACAUCCUCUCAACGCUUUUGAUUCUCCUGAUCAAUCAAUAGUGACCAUAGAAAAAAAACUUCGUGAUCUGUUUUCUCUGUUUCUUGAUCUGGAUUUGAUUUCUGCUGUCUUUGCUUACUAUGAUUUUGGGUCUUCUUUCAAU
rnacentral:misc_RNA from 1 species